CGUUUCAGGGUGUCCUGUAACUCCCUGCACAGCGAGGGGCUGCAGGACCUUACCCACACACUGGCGCGGCUGGCGUCUCUCAGGGAGCUGGAGAUAAGAAACAACGGCCUCAGUUUGGAGGCGAUCGAAAGCCUAGUGAAGGAGCUGACCCGCUGUCCUGAGGCCCUAGUUUUGAGAGCUGAAGAGCCAUGGAUACAGGCUGGGGAGGCUGUUUGUUUCGUCAGCAGGUGCCUGAGCGUCAACUCAAACAUCCAGGAGAUCAGGGUCCACAGAAACACUGUCUCUGUCACUGUGGAGAGCUGCAGUGCUGGGGACAAGGCCUCUGCUUGUGACAGGUAAAGCAAAACCCCAGUCGAUUAAAGGAACUCAUUGCUCUCCCAGAUAUCUAGGUAGGUAAAUGGGUUAGGUCCCCUUUUCAGGCCAUAAAUGCCCAUGGGGGAAUGGGGGGCAAGGGCCACCAUUUUUCUUGGCCAUCCGACACUGGAGGUGAAAGUGAUGAGAUCAGCAUCACGCUCCAGCCAGCUUAUCGCCCCCGGAAUGAUUGACCCCAGUAUUGGGGUGCACAUGAAACACAGCCCAAGUGGACCUGGGAGCCAUCUGGAAGGAAUUAGAGCUCCAUCGCUUGCCCCUACCCGGGAUUGAACCCGGAACCUUCCAUUUUGUCUUGACACUGAAAGUGAACUGGAUUUGUUUACCUGGCCCAGAAAAUAGAGGUCAGGAGCUAGAUGCCCUUGC